rnacentral:rRNA from 1 species
CCUACGGGUGGCAGCAGUGGGGAAUAUUGGACAAUGGGCGAAAGCCUGAUCCAGCCAUGCCGCGUGUGUGAAGAAGGCCUUCGGGUUGUAAAGCACUUUCAGUGGGGAAGAAAGCCUUGGGGCUAAUACCCUCGAGGAAGGACAUCACCCACAGAAGAAGCACCGGCUAACUCCGUGCCAGCAGCCGCGGUAAUACGGAGGGUGCGAGCGUUAAUCGGAAUUACUGGGCGUAAAGCGCGCGUAGGCGGUCUUAUAAGCCGGUUGUGAAAGCCCCGGGCUCAACCUGGGAACGGCAUCCGGAACUGUCAGGCUAGAGUGCAGGAGAGGAAGGUAGAAUUCCCGGUGUAGAGGUGAACUGCGUAGAGAUCGGGAGGAACACCAGUGGCGAAGGCGGCCUUCUGGACUGACACUGACGCUGAGGUGCGAAAGCGUGGGUAGCAAACAGGAUUAGAUACCCUUGUAGUC